CGGACGGGUGAGUAAUGUCUGGGAAACUGCCUGAUGGAGGGGGAUAACUACUGGAAACGGUAGCUAAUACCGCAUAACGUCGCAAGACCAAAGAGGGGGACCUUCGGGGCCUCUUGCCAUCGGAUGUGCCCAGAUGGGAUUAGCUAGUAGGUGGGGUAACGGCUCACCUAGGCGACGAUCCCUAGCUGGUCUGAGAGGAUGACCAGCCACACUGGAACUGAGACACGGUCCAG
rnacentral:rRNA from 1 species